rnacentral:rRNA from 1 species
CCUACGGGGGGCAGCAGUGGGGAAUAUUGCACAAUGGGGGAAACCCUGAUGCAGCGACGCCGCGUGAGUGAAGAAGGAAUUCGGUAUGUAAAGCUCUAGCAGCAGGGAAGAAAAGGACGGGACCUGAGAAAGAAGCCCCGGCUAACUACGUGCCAGCAGCCGCGGGAAUACGUAGGGGGCAAGCGUUAUCCGGAGUUACUGGGUGUAAAGGGAGAGUAGACGGCAGGGCAAGUCUGGAGUGAAAGGCGGGGGCUCAACCCCCGGACUGCUCUGGAAACUGUACGGCUGGAGUGCAGGAGAGGUAAGUGGAAUUCCUAGUGUAGCGGUGCAAUGCGUAGAUAUUAGGAGGAACACCAGUGGCGAAGGCGGCUUACUGGACUGUACCUGACGUUGAGGCUCGAAAGCGUGGGGAGCAAACAGGAUUAGCUACCCGUGUAGUC